AGGUGUUCAACCCACAACUUCCUCUCCCUCUGUAUUGGAAUCCUCUCCCAGAAUGAAAACUGUCUCCACUGCUUCCUCAACCUCAACCUCAGGCCCAUCAGAGAUUGCCAUCAGACUCCCCAUCUUCUUCAUAGUGCUGAUUCUGCCUGGGCUCAUUGCAACUGUUCAUUUAGUGAGAAGGAGGAAGCAGACGUGUAGAGAGGAUCCCCCAGCCAUUGAACUACACGAACUGAAUUAACAUGGAGAACCCAGAAUGGUCUACAUGACUUUAUGUGAAGACACUGGCUU